CCUUGAAGAGUAAUCCGAUUGGGAGUUAGUGGCGAACGGGUGAGGAAUACAUGGAUAACGUGCCCCGAACUCUGGGAUAGCGGCGGAACUUCGGUUCCUUUGCGAAAGUGCCGGUAAUACCAGAUGACCCCGUGCGGUCUCAUGAUCGUGCGGGCAAAGUUCAGGCGGUUUGGGAGCGGUCCAUGUCCUAUCAGCUUGUUGGUGGGGUAAAGGCCUACCAAGGCAACGACGGGUAUCGGGUGUGAGAGCACGACCCGACACAUCGGGACUGAGACACUGCCCGGACACCUACGGGUGGCUGCAGCAACGAAUAUUCCGCAAUGGGCGCAAGCCUGACGGAGCGACGCCGCGUGCAGGACGAAGUCUUUCGGGAUGUAAACUGCUGUCAGGGGCUAGGAAUACAUUGAUCAGCCCCAAAGGAAGCAUCGGCUAACUCCGUGCCAGCAGCCGCGGUAAUACGGAGGAUGCGAGCGUUGUUCGGAAUCACUGGGGCUUAAAGCGCAUGUAGGCGGAAUGUAAGGUGUCAUGUGAAAGCCCCCGGCUCAACCGGGGAAUUGCUAGGCAAACCGACAUUCUUGAGGCAAGUAGAGGCGACUGGAACCUUUGGUGGAGAGGUGAAAUUCGUAGAUAUCAAAGGGAA
rnacentral:rRNA from 1 species